AUCUUUUAAAUUAAUUUUUUGUCCUCGCUCCAUUGUACUUUUUAUCAUAUUUUUUUAUAGUCAGGUCUCGACGCGUUGGUUAGAUCUGAUGAUAAUUGGCAUCGUUUUUCAAAAUCUUUUCUUUGAAAUUUUUUCUUAAAAAUUCAUUUUAUCAAAAUAAUUUAGAUAAUAUUAAAAGUAUCUCGUUAAUAAUAUUUUCUGAAAAAUAAUACCAAGCUAAGAACUACGCGCAUUUGCAGUUCAGUUUAAAUCUUGCACAAUUUCUUUUGAUUAUUCGUUUCACUUAUUGUUAAACUGGAUUGGUAUCAUAUUAUGUUAUUCGCUUAUUGUUAGACCGGACCGCAUGUGCCAUAUUACGCGUAUGCGUUCGACAUUAUUAUGGGAUUAUUAAUCGUAGGACAAUGAAUCGUGGGAUGCACGUGCAAAUUAAAUAAGAAAAUAGAUUAAUUAUUCAUCGGAGAACUUACUUAAAACUCGUAAAAGCGAUGUUACAUCUAGAUAACUUUUAUUAACCAAUAUAAUCGUAUAUUGUUACAAAUGACGGCGACACGAUGAUCGUGCCGCCUCAACGGAUUACAAUGAGAAACGGCGUGUCAACGUUAUACAAUCAAAAUGGGAAUUGAGAUGAAUGAGCGAAUUUUUACGAAUGUUUACGGUGGUAUUCGUCGCUACUCGACUUCAAGAAACUGCAUACACGACAACAUGUAAUUUGUAGAAGCAUUUUUUUUUUUUUGCCCUUCGAUGAUCAUCGCGUGGAUAAAGGAUCGUGGUAUUUUAGCGAGACGCCCAGGACACCAGAUUCCGCAUUCCGCCUCUCUUUCCAGCUUCCGUAACCCGUUGAUAUUUCCUCCCACGAUUGUUCUACCCACGUGAUCCUUUCUCUUUCCGACCAGCCUCGAUCGCGUUAUCCGUUCGAUGCAAGCGAGAGGAAGAAAGGAAUUAUUAAUACGCGUCGCGUUUGAACUUUUACUCUAACCGAAAAAAAAAAAAAACA